rnacentral:misc_RNA from 1 species
GCUUUGGCUGAAGAAGCUCAAAGAUGUAGCUUAUGAUGCUGAAGACGUGUUUGAUGAGUUAGCCUACGAGGAUCUUUGACGAAAGGUUCAGAUGCAAGAACAACUAGGGAGGGAGGGUGAUUACUUUUUCCUCCUCUAUUGAUGCAGACACAAAACUAGCUUUAUCUGUAAAUUCUCAAGAUGUUGUUUAUGAAUAAAUGGUGUUGGAAAUCUACACAUGGUCGGUUGCCUUUGAUUUACCAAAGAUUAAAAAGAAAUUUCAGCAAUUCGUCCAUGAGUUUCUUGGAUUCCUUGGAUAUCUUUGGAAAUUUUGGGAUUAUAAAUCAAUCAAAUGCACAAGAUAUAGGCUAUCACAUUGCCUUUCACAUGCAAGAACUGUCUCCUGCGCUUGCUGCAUUUUCCAAUUCCAUUGUUAGUCUUUUCCAUCACUGGGGCAUGGUUGAUAAUAUUUUCUGAAAUUCAACGGGGGCAUGGCUGCAAUAUGUGAAAU